GACGGGGGGGGCAAGUGUCAUCCGGAAUCAUUGGGUUUAAAGGGUCCGUAGGCGGUUUAGUAAGUCAGUGGUGAAAACCCAUCGCUCAACGGUGGAACGGCCAUUGAUACUGCUAAACUUGAAUUAUUAGGAAGUAACUAGAAUAUGUAGUGUAGCGGUGAAAUGCUUAGAGAUUACAUGGAAUACCAAUUGCGAAGGCAGGUUACUACUAAUGGAUUGGCGCUGAUGGACGAAAGCGUGGGUAGCGAACAGG
rnacentral:rRNA from 1 species